UAAGGAAUAUUGGACAAUGGAGGCAACUCUGACCCAGCCAUGCCGCGUGAAGGAAUAAGGCCCUAUGGGUUGUAAACUUCUUUUAGACGGGACAAAACCCCUUUACGUGUAAAGGGUUGAUGGUACUGUCAGAAUAAGCAUCGGCUAACUUCGUGCCAGCAGCCGCGGUAAUACGAAGGAUGCAAGCGUUAUCCGGAAUUAUUGGGUUUAAAGGGUGCGUAGGCGGACUAAUAAGUCAGUGGUGAAAGCCUGCAGCUUAACUGCAGAAUUGCCAUUGAUACUGUUAGUCUUGAGUACAGUUGAGGUAGGCGGAAUGUGUCAUGUAGCGGUGAAAUGCUUAGAUAUGACACAGAACACCGAUUGCGAAGGCAGCUUGCUAAGCUGUAACUGACGCUGAGGCACGAAAGCGUGGGGAGCAAACA
rnacentral:rRNA from 1 species